rnacentral:rRNA from 1 species
AUUGACGCUGGCGGCAGGCUUAACACAUGCAAGUCGAGCGGAGACUUCGGUCUUAGCGGCGAACGGGUGAGGAAUGCCUGGGAAUCUGCCUGGUAGUGGGGGAUAACGUUCCGAAAGGAACGCUAAUACCGCAUACGUCCUACGGGAGAAAGCAGGGGGACCUUCGGGCCUUGCGCUAUCAGAUGAGCCCAGGUCGGAUUAGCUAGUAGGUGAGGUAAAGGCUCACCUAGGCGACGAUCCGUAGCUGGUCUGAGAGGAUGAUCAGCCACACUGGAACCUGAGACACGGUCCAGACUCCUACGGGAGGCAGCAGUGGGGAAUAUGGACAAUGGGCGAAAGCCUGAUCCAGCCAUGCCGCGUGUGUG